UACGUAGGGGGUAAGCGUUGUCCGGAUUCAUUGGGCGUAAAGAGCGUGUAGGCGGCCAGGUAGGUCGGUUGUGAAAACUGGAGGCUCAACCUUCAGAGGUCGACCGAAACCAUCUGGCUAGAGUCCGGGAGAGGAGAGUGGAAUUCCUGGUGUAGCGGUGAAAUGACGCAGAUAUCAGGAAGAACACCCGUGGCGAAAGCGGCUCUCUGGAACGGUACUGACGCUGAGACGCGAAAGCGUGGGGAGCGAACAGG
rnacentral:rRNA from 1 species